rnacentral:rRNA from 1 species
UACGUAGGGUGCGAGCGUUGUCCGGGAUUAUUGGGCGUAAAGAGCUCGUAGGCGGUCUGUCGCGUCUGCUGUGAAAUCCCGAGGCUCAACCUCGGGCUUGCAGUGGGUACGGGCAGGCUAGAGUGCGGUAGGGGAGAAUGGAACUCCUGGUGUAGCGGUGGAAUGCGCAGAUAUCAGGAAGAACACCGAUGGCGAAGGCAGUUCUCUGGGCCGUAACUGACGCUGAGGAGCGAAAGCGUGGGGAGCGAACAGG